rfam:Dipodomys ordii contig_39531, whole genome shotgun sequence.
GGGAAGUUGGCUCAGUGGUAGAGUGCUUGCCUUGCAUGCAUGAGGCCCUGGGUUCGGUUCCUCGGCACCACA